rnacentral:rRNA from 1 species
GACGAACGCUGGCGGCGUGCUUAACACAUGCAAGUCGAACGGAAAGGCCUGCUUUCCCUUGUGGAUUGCGGGUACUCGCGUGUCGAACGGGUGAGUAACACGUGAGUUAUCUUCCCCCAACUUGGGUAUAAGCCUGGGAAACUGGGUCUAAUUCCCGAUAGGACUGCAGGGUGGUGCCUGUGGUUGAAAACGAUUUUCUUGUGGUUGGGGAUGAGCUGGCGGCCUAUCAGCUUGUUGGUGGGGUAAUGGCCGACCAAGGCGGGGACGGGUAGCCGGCCUGGGGGAGUGGGCGGCCACAGGGGAACGGAGAUACGGGGAAGACUACUACGGGAGGAAGCAGUGGGGAAUAUUGAGCAAUGGGCGGAAGACUGAUGGAGCGAGGCCGCGUGGGGGAUGACGGCCGUGGGGUUGUAAACUCCUGUCGACAGCGAGGAAGCGACCUGGUUGGAAGGGUGGUGACGGUAGUGGUAGAAGAAGCACCGGCUAACUACGUG